CGUUAAUAAAAUUAUGUUAUUUUACGAUGAUAAGCUUCGUUUUCAAAAUUACAUUUACGUCGUUUUCAUCCAUAAAAAUGAGAAGAAAAACACCACAUGUAACAUUACUUUUUGGGAUAGUAACAAAAAAAAAUCUUCAUGGGCUGCCGUUCCAAAUGAGAGUGAGGACACUGCAGUGAUGUCUACAUAUAUGUAUAUACAUCGGCCACGUGGAGCCCAAUGAUUGGUUGGGUUAGAUAAAUAAAGUAAAAGUAGGUCAACAUUAUUGGCUACAUUUAUAUUGACUAAUUUAAAUAAUUCUGAUCAAUAAAUAAAUAAAAUUUUAAAAAAAUGGUUAAUGGCUAAUGGGGUUGAAACCAAGGGUUAGAGUUAGGAACCCAUUUUCUAAAGUUAAGAUUUCUGACGCUGAUUUUGUUUUUUCCUUAACUCCAACUCUCCAACUCAGUCCCUUACCUACUCCCUUUAUUUAUUUAUUAAUUGCAAUAAUAUCUUCUUCUUUUUUUAUUUUAGUUCUCAAUUAUCAUUCCUUCCAUCAAUUUUUCAUUUUUAUGUUGAAAUUUUGAUGUUGAAAGAUUUGGGUUUAAAUACUCAUGUGUUUCUCAAGGCUUAUUUAUUCUAAUACUCUAUCUAAUUAUAAAUUUUAUACUUUCAACUUGAUUUUAUAUAUAUAUAUAUAUAUAAAUAAGUUAGUAAAAUAAUUAAGGGCAUGUUUUAAUUGAUUAGAGAAUUUUUUUUCCAAAUAAGUUAAUUUUUUUAUUUAAACUAUUUUUUAUAUAUGAAAAGUUGACUAAAAAAACUCUAGAAGUGUUUCAAAUUUAUUUGGGUGAUUUUUGAAAUAAUUGAAAUUCUUUCACCAUUAUUCUAAAAACAUGAAUUUAUAAAAGCACAUUUGAAAAUAUACAAUCAAAUAUUACAUGUUAUUUUAGAUGACAAAAUACAUGAUUUUAGUCAAUUUUGGGUAAUUUUAACAAUUUUAAAAGCAAAAAAAAAGACCUUUUUAAAUAUAUGAAAAUGAACCAAAAUUUUACUUAAAAGUAUUUGUUAUAUUUUGUAAAUAUUGUGUAACAAUUUUAUCAUUUACAAUAAUUUUAUUUUAUUUGCAUGAUUUAAAGUAUGGUCCAAAUAAUAUUUUUAAACGACUAGGAAAAAUGAUUGUUAAGAAAAGUUAGAGAAAAUAGAAAAAAAAAAGUGAUGAGUAGAUUUUUUUUUUUUUUUUUUAAAAGGGAUAAUUUAGAGUGGGGAAGGGAGGGGUUGGGGUUUGGGUCAAAUCUGUUUAACGGUUAAUAGGGCUGAGAUUGCGUGUACUUUCCGAAUUAGCGGACUAAUUAAACUAAACUUCUUCCAUUUUCUUUUUGUCAUCCAAUCCUUUUUUCUUCCCCCAAAAGAGAAAUAAAAAGUAGUGAUUGAGGUCACCUUCAUUUUCUAAAUUCGUCGGGUUGUGACGUCGUUUUCCUCCGCCCGGCUGAUUUUAGUUGACUCAGAAUCAUCCUUCUCCUCCAUAAAUGCCUUGAUUUCCGAUUCCGAUUCCGAUCACGACCGGAGAAUGUGAUCCGCUCGAUUCCGAUCCGACGUAGCCAUAGAUGUAGGAGUCUGUAUGGUCAAACAAAAAAGAAUUCCAAUCAAAACAAAAUUAUAUAUUUCAUAUUUUUAGAUAUAUGUUUGAUAGCAUAGAACUAAUAAAAUUGACAAACUAUUUGUCCUCAAAACAAAACCAUUUAAACACAAAAUUUGUAAAUAUUUUGUCUUCUCAUAAACAAUUAUUAAUAAAAAAAUAAAACAUUUUGACAAAAAUAUUUACAAGGUUAAGUGAUUUAGAUAGUUUAUCAAUUUUUUCUAUUUAAAAAAAAGUACCAUUUAUUUAUGUACAUGUUUUAGAUUAAAAAUUAAAAUUUUUAUUUUAAAUUAUAAAACUCUUGAAAAUAUUUACAUAUAGAGUAAAACAUUAUACGAUAGACUAUCAUGUUCUAGUAUGUUGGUAAGUAUUUUAGUUUAAUUUGCUAUAUUUGAUAAUCACCUUUUUUUUUUUUGUAUAAUUAUUAUUUAUUAGUAUUAGAUAAUCUGACAUACAUGGUUUUAUCUUUAUUUAAUAUAAUUUUGUACUUUAAACUUUUAAAUAUAAUAAAAACAAAAAAUGUAUUGUAUUCACAAUUGAAUCUGAAGACAAUUUUUAGAAACAAAAUUUCGGUAUCAAUAACUUAUAUUCGUUAACUCAGUAAAUCUAAAAACACAAAAGGCGAAGAUCAACUGCUUUGCUGCUCUUCUAAUUUCUCUAUUGUCUGUGACUAGUCCUUGUAAUAAGGCAUUUAAAAUUCCAAAUCACUGUAGACAAAUACAUAGAGAUUCCUUUAUUCUACCACUUGCCACUAUAAAUCUAAAUCAUCUUAUUAUUCAUCUUCUCUUUCAUUUGUGGAUUCCCAUGGCCAUGAUAGAUUCAACACGAAUAAGAUAUUUAUGGGUAAAGGACUGAAUUUUGUCUAUGUGUCUCUGUAUGUUUUUAGCCAACUUGAACAUACCCGAAUGAUUAAUGGCACAUGACUUUGGUCUAGAAGUUAAAAGCUUGAAUCUACUAAAAUUUUCCUUCCUCCCUAUGGUUUGAGUUUAGUUACAAUAGGAUCUACAUGGUUGGGUCAAAUCUAAUGCUUAUGGUAUUGAAUACUUGACAUGUCUAACUUGAACCUAAUUUAACUAAAACAUAUAUGAUUCGGUCAAUCUCUAAAGGUAAGAGGUUCGAAUAUACCUAUCCCACUUGUUGUUGAACUUAAAAGAAAGAAAAGGUUUAACAUGUUUUAUUGACAUGCAAUGAGAUGAUGUUGGCCAACUUUAUUAGAUGAAGAAUAAAUGAGCAGGGUGUUUGUAUAGGUAAAGGAUAGUUUAAGAAUAAUUUAUAAGGCUUAACUACUUAUAAAGAUUAAAAUGAAAUAAACUAAAUCAAAACUACAAAAGCUAAAUUGAUACUUUUACAGAACGAUACAAACAACCAUAUGAGCCAAUAUUUGUAAUUUAAAUAUACUUUUAAAUUAGUUCAUAUAAUCUUAGGAAGUUUUCUAAAUUUUCAUGGGUUCUUCUAAUAGUUUCAUAAUAUAGUGUUGACUGUUGAGACUCCAACACCUCUGUUGUAAUUGCUAUCAUUGCCACAGGAGAGAUCUCCAACCAAGUAGAAGCAUAAAUGAGUUUAAAAGAAGCCCCAAACUGCGUACUUCGACAUUGAUUUCUGGAUGGGUAAUUAUUAUUACCAUUGACUUCCACAACAAAACAGUGAAAUACAAUAACUUUAACUUGAAGUGUUUUACCCUUCUCUUUUCCAGUGAAGUUAAUUCUAAAGUAUUUUGACUCGCAUGCUGAGGCCAUAAUGUCAUUGAAUUUCAAAUCUUUUUCCAGGAAAAUAGUAGCAGAACAAUUAUAAACUAUUUUAUCAAUUACUAGCUGAAUUCUUAAGUUGACCAAGUCAAAUAUUGGAAGUCAGAUGGGCAGGACGAAAUUACUCCAACCUUAACUGAGUGCUUUAUGAAUUAAUGGAUUAUUAUAAACAUUCUUUCACAUUAUUGACUUUUAGCAGCUUUCUCAUGGGUGGUUGGUUGUUGCUUCAGUUUCUUUUAAGUCUUUAACCUGAUGUAUAUAAAAUUCUUAAGUUUGAAGACUGGUUUAAUUUUCUUUACUUUUACGUGCACAUACAAAAGGUAGUUGAUCAGAACUUGUGUCCUACGGUGGGUGAGAGAUUUUGCAAGUGAGGUUUGGUUUGAAAUGGCAGCCUUUUCAUUUCCCUGAUUGUUAAGUUUGGUGAAGAAAAAGUGAAAGGAGUGACAUUCAAGAAACCAGACAACCAUUUUCUAAACUAAAAAUAGUAAAAAGAAUAAAUAAAAUUGCAAGACAAUAUAUAAGCUUAAGUAGUAAUCGAACCUGUUAUUUCAUCGUCAAUGGACGAGAUGGAAGCCACUGGAAAGCUUGUUGCAGCUAGACAGCUCUUGAAAACUGGCCUCGAAAGAUCGAGAGACAUUGAAUCUAAAUUGGCCAAUGCUGGACCAAGAUUGAGAGACAAGGCUCAAAG
rnacentral:lncRNA from 1 species